rnacentral:rRNA from 1 species
GACGAACGCUGGCGGCGUGCCUAAUACAUGCAAGUGGAACGCACUAACCUCACCGGAGCUUGCUCCACCGAGUUUAGUGAGUCGCGAACGGGUGAGUAACGCGUAGGUAACCUACCUUCUAGCGGGGGAUAACUAUUGGAAACGAUAGCUAAUACCGCAUAACAUUUUUCAUCGCAUGAUGAAGGAUUGAAAGGGGCAAAUGCUCCACUGGGAGAUGGACCUGCGUUGUAUUAGCUAGUUGGUGGGGUAAAAGCCCACCAAGGCGACGAUACAUAGCCGACCUGAGAGGGUGAUCGGCCACACUGGGACUGAGACACGGCCCAGACUCCUACGGGAGGCAGCAGUAGGGAAUCUUCGGCAAUGGGGGGAACCCUGACCGAGCAACGCCGCGUGAGUGAAGAAGGUUUUCGGAUCGUAAAGCUCUGUUGUAAGAGAAGAACGUGUGUGAGAGUGGAAAGUUCACACAGUGACGGUAACUUACCAGAAAGGGACGGCUAACUACGUG